AAACAUGGUUCCAAAGGUGCUUUCAAAGACUUGUUCUCAAACCCAGAAACAUGGUUCAGAAGGUGCUUUCCAAGGUAUGAUUUCAAAACAAAAAAAAUAUUCUAAAAGGUGCUUUUCAAAAACUUGAUCUCAAACCAAAAAAGGCUUAAAAGGUACUUUGAAAAUCUUGAUCUCAAACCAAAAAAGGCUUGAAAGGUGCUUUCAAAAUCUUGAUCUCAAACCAAAUACAAGGUCCAAAAGGUGCUUUAAAGAACUUGAUCUCAAACCAAAAACAAGGUUCCAAAAAGGUGCUUUAAAAAGACGUGAUCUCAAACCCAGAAACAUGGUUCCAAAGGUGCUUUCAAAGACGUGUUCUCAAACAAAAAACGUUCAAAAGGUGCUUUCAAAGACUUGUUCUUAAACUCAGAAACAUGGUUCAGAAGGUGCUUUCCAAGGUAUGAUUUCAAAACAAAAAAAAAAUUCUAAAAAGGUGCUUUUCAAAAACUUGAUCUCAGACCAAAAAAGGCUUGAAAGGUGCUUUAAAAAUCUUUAUCUCAAACCAAAAAGGCUUGAAAGGUGCUUUCAAAAUCUUGAUCUCAAACCAAAAACAAGGUCCAAAAGGUGCUUUAAAAAGCAAGGAUCCAAAAAGGUGCUUUAAAAGACGUGAUCUCAAACCCAGAAACAUGGUUCCAAAGGUGCUUUCAAAAGACUUGUUCUCAAACAAUAAAAGGUUCAAAAGGUGCUUUCAAAGACUUGUUCUCAAACCCAGAAACAUGGUUCAGAAGGUGCUUUCCAAGGUAUUAUUUCAAAACAAAAAAAAUAUUCUAAAAGGUGCUUUUCAAAAACUUAAUCUCAAACCAAAAAAGGCUUAAAAGGUGCUUUGAAAAUCUUUAUCUCAAACCAAAAAAGGCUUGAAAGGUGCUUUCAAAAUCUUGAUCUCAAACCAAAUACAAGGCCCAAAAGGUGCUUUAAAGAACUUGAUCUCAAACCAAAAACAAGGUUCCAAAAAGGUGCUUUAAAAAGACGUGAUCUCAAACCCAGAAACAUGGUUCCAAAGGUGGUUUCAAAGACUUGUUCUCAAACAAAAAAGGUUCAAAAGGUGCUUUCAAAGACUUGUUCUUAAACUCAGAAACAUGGUUCAGAAGGUGCUUUCCAAGGUAUGAUUUCAAAACAAAAAAAAAAAAAUUCUAAAAAGGUGCUUUUCAAAAACUUGAUCUCGGACCAAAAAAGGCUUGAAAGGUGCUUUAAAAAUCUUUAUCUCAAACCAAAAAGGCUUGAAAGGUGCUUUAAAAAUCUUGUUCUCAAACCAAAAACAAGGUCCAAAAGGUGCUUUAAAAAGGUGCUUUAAAAGACGUGAUCUAAAACCCAGAAACAUGGUUCCAAAGGUGCUUUCAAAAGACUUGUUCUCAAACAAUAAAAGGUUCAAAAGGUGCUUUCAAAGACUUGUUCUCAAACCCAGAAACAUGGUUCAGAAGGUGCUUUCCAAGGUAUGAUUUCAAACAAAAAAA